CUGAAGAGGUGCAAAGCAGUAUAUCAGAAAUUCUGUUUCUUGGUUGUAUGAAACUUCAGAUUUACCUUCCUAUUCUCAUUAUUAAUUACCUGCAAACCCUCCAAGAACACUUUCUGUGCCACAGCUGGACACUUUUUUCUCUACCCUCAUCUGCCAAAAGGUUGGUACUCUGUCAGAGAUGAGCUGGUGUCUCAUUUCUCUCUAUCCCUCUGUUUUUUCUCUUGCGCAUUCUGGCAGCGCAGGGCUCUUCUUUAUUAACCUUUUCCAACUGAAUAAGCCAGAACAACACAUGACUUCUGACCUGAAGCAAUACAGCCAAGUGAGUAGGCUGGCUAUCUAUUUGCACUGCCUUUCUACACGAGGUCCUUUUCCUCGGUAGACAUAAUGUACCAGAGAUGUAUUAGAGAUAAGGAUAAUGUGUCUGUCUGCCUGUUCUCCCUAUAGCUUUGGGAGACAAGCAGGAUGAAUAUGAGAGUGCAGUGGUAUGGGCCAAAUGCAAUGAGACUCCCACAAAUAUGGUGAGAUAAAAUGCUGUGUGCCUUUCAUCCGAAUGGAUCCUAAUGAUGUAUAAUCUCAACAUCCGGAGGAGGCCCGAUGCGACAAAAGCUGAGGAAAAAAAAUCUAAUAUUACUUUGUUAACACACAGAAAAUGAUGCCGUAUUUUUCAAGCUGUAUUGAUGUAUUUAAUUGCCAUCAAUAAAAUAAUCAAAUGCCUUUUGUUUCUUUUUCUGUAUUCCUUACUUUUUUUUUCCAUUUUCAAAAUUUCUUUUACUUUCAUUCCACUGUAUUUUCAUUUUUUUUUCCAUUUUUCUGCUACUUUUUAUAAAAUUAUUUUAUUUUGCCCAUAUUUUCUUGUAUUUGCCUCAUGCUGCUUUUCCUCCAUCUGUCAUAGAAAAUUUUCCUAUAUGAUGUCUUUUUUCUCACUACAGGCUUUUUUCCUCCCAGCUAAGAAACAGGAGUACCCCCUAAACCUCCUCCUUUUUCUCUCACUCCAUGGUUUUACUAAGACUAAUCUUUUUCACUGAUUUUACUUCUGCCAUUUUUGUCACUGUUGAUGUUGUGUACUCCAUCGGGAUAUUGUCUUCUCUUGGCUUAAAAAUCCCUUCCCCUUGCAUCCACAAUCAUCCAAAUGUCUCCUGUUAUGCUUGCCCAUGAUGCACCACAAAACUGUAAGUUAUAUGCGAGUGUUAUAUAUACCUAAAUAGCAUAUGUUUUACAUAUUAAACUUAUGUGAGAUCAUAUAUUGACUCAUAAGAGUGGUUUCCUUUAAUUACAGUCCACACACAUACCGUAUGUUAUAUAUAAAAACCAUAUGUCAAGCUAUCUCUGUGUAUGAAGCACUCAUGCC
ensembl:lncRNA